GACGAACGCUGGCGGCGUGCCUAAUACAUGCAAGUAGAACGCUGAAGGAAUAGCUUGCUUCUCUGGAUGAGUUGCGAACGGGUGCGUAACGCGUAGUAAACCUUCCUGAUAGUGGGGGAUAACUGGUGGAAACGAUAGCUAAUACCGCAUAACAGUAGAUGUUGUAUGUUAUUUCAUGAUAAGGUGCAAUUACAUCCAUACCAGACGCUACUGCGUUGUAUUAGCUAGUUGGUGAGGUAACGGCUCACCAAGGCGACGAUACAUAGCCGACCUGAGAGGGUGAUCGGCCACACUGGGACUGAGACACGGCCCAGACUCCUACGGGAGGCAGCAGUAGGGAAUCUUCGGCAAUGGACGGAAGUCUGACCGAGCAACGCCGCGUGAGUGAAGAAGGUUUUCGGAUCGUAAAGCUCGGUUGUAAGAGAAGAACGAGUGUGAGAGUGGAAAGUUCACACUGUGACGGUAUCUUACCAGAAAGGGACGGCUAACUACGUG
rnacentral:rRNA from 1 species